CUCUUUGAGGUCCUUCAAUAUUUUCUUUUUUAGGGUGUAGUGGGUUCCUGAGACCCAAAGUUUGAGAACUGCUGGAAUAAAAGUCUCAUGAAGGCAGAUUCCAGAGAAGAGAGAACAUUCAGACCUUGCCUAGACACACUCGCCAAGCGCUUUGGUAAUAAUAUUUACAAAAGUGAGACACAUUCUGCUGUCACGUUAAGAGAUGGACUCCGGCUUCUUACCUCUUACCGGAAGCCAGCAGCGCUCACCCAGCAGGAGAGCUGAACACUCGAGGAAGACAGAGCGCCUCUGCGCGUCCGCAGCCGGGGAACCUUGGAGACCACAAUCCCAGUGGCCCAGGAAUCGUUCAACCAGGAGCCCUCUAUUUUGCUUUCGUCAGGAGAUGAGCAGAGGUAGAGGUGGCUCCGGGGGCUGCGCAGGGCGCUCCAGCCACCCGAGGGGCCAUCCUGGGAUCACCCUCCCCAGCGCCAGGGGCGCACAGACAUCGCGCAAAAUCCAGCCUCCUCCGCGUUCAGACGAGAGGACAGAAAACUCCAGGAUGCAGUCAGCCACAGAUGAAAUCAACUUGACGAUUUAAGUCCACGAAAUGUCCUCACAGCAACAGUAAGACCACGGCUUGCUUGAUCAAACAGCUGGAUGCCAUCACCUGGCCAAGACGACACAUGAGCUUAUCCAACACACCCAAGGGACGUAUUCCUCCUCAUUCCAAAGCACAGUAAAUCCAACUAAUUCAACUACAGAGAGGGAAGGAAGACUCUGGAGACAGAUUAGAGAUGACAACGGAGGAGAAAGAGAGCAGAGAUAUUGUCCAGAGAAUUUUGAUUUCGGUUUACUGUUCAUGUGUAAUGAAAAUUUCCCCAAGAAAUUUUCAGCAAAAUUUCCGUCACACACCAAUCUUCUGGAGGUGGGUUUUGAGGGUUCUGACCGUGUGAUAUCUGGUCUCCAGGUGGGCACGGAAGGAGAGAAGGCUUCCGAAGGGGGCCUGGCCUCCCACGAGUG